rnacentral:rRNA from 1 species
CCUUCCGGAGACCGUGCCUACUCUUAACUGAGCGGGGGCGGGAGACGGAACGUUUACUUUGAAAAAAUCAGAGUGUUUCAAGCAGGCAGCUCGCUCUUGCAUGGAUUAGCAUGGGAUAAUGAAAUAGGACUUUGGUGCUAUUUUGUUGGUUUCGAACACCGAAGUAAUGAUGAGAAGGGACAGUCAGGGGCACUCGUAUUCCGCCGAGAGAGGUGAAAUUCUCAGACCAGCGGAAGACGAACCACUGCGAAAGCAUUUGCCAGGGAUGUUUUCACUGAUCAAGAACGAAAGUUAGGGGAUCGAAGACGAUCAGAUACCGUCGUAGUCUUAACCAUAAACCAUGCCGACUAGGGAUUGGGGGAUGUUCACUUAUUGACUCCCUCAGCACCUUACAGGAAACUAAAGUCUUUGGGUUCCGGGGGGAGUAUGGUCGCAAGGCUGAAACUUAAAGGAAUUGACGGAAGGGCACCACCAGGAGUGG